UUAAUCGAAACCAAAAUAGAGGUAUAUUACUGUUAAUAAUACAAUUGAAUAUUAAUAUUCCGAUUAAG
rnacentral:tRNA from 1 species